rnacentral:rRNA from 1 species
GUCGAACGCUGGCGGCGUGCCUAAUACAUGCAAGUCGAACGCAGGGGGGGCGGGUGAGUAACACGUGGGUAACCUCCCAUCAGAAGGGCUAACACUUGGCCACAGGUGCUAAACCGAUACUGAUGGAUGGAACAGCGGUGCUUUAGGGAGUGGGUGAGGUAAAGGCUCAACAAGGCUACGAUGCAUAGCGGGCCUGAGAGGGUGAUCGGCCACACUGUGACUGAGACACGGCCCAGACUCCUACGGGAGGCAGCAGUAGGGAAUAUUCGGCAAUGGGCGAAAGUCUGACCGAGCGACGCCGCGUGUGUGAAGAAGGUUUUCGGGUCGUAAACCUCUGUUGUUAGAGAAGCGGUAUCUAACCAGCAAGCCACGGCUAACUCCGUGCCAGCAGCCGCGGUAAUAC